rnacentral:rRNA from 1 species
UACGGGGGAGCAAGCGUUGUUCGGAUUUACUGGGCGUAAAGGGCGCGUAGGCGGUCAGCACAAGUCAGUUGUGAAAUCUCCGGGCUUAACUCGGAAAGGUCAACUGAUACUGUGCGGCUAGAGUGCGGAAGGGGCAACUGGAAUUCUUGGUGUAGCGGUGAAAUGCGUAGAUAUCAAGAGGAACACCUGCGGCGAAGGCGGGUUGCUGGGCCGACACUGACGCUGAGACGCGAAAGCGUGGGGAGCAAACAGG